ensembl:lncRNA
GCGGGGGCGUCCCCGGGCCCUGGCGCGGCGCCUGGAGCUCCUGCUGCUGGAAGCGCCAUGUGACCGUGACUCUGCACAAGCCGGGAACGCGGAGAAACAAAGGGCGGCUCAGCGGCCACCGGGCGCUCAGGCUGGCACGGAGGGCCCGGCCCCAACCCCAACCGGGGCCCCGCACUCUUGUCCCUACGGACCCUCGGUGCCCAGGGCGAGCAGGGAGGCGCCGGAUCCUGCUGAGGCCCGGGGCGGGGAGCGCGGCCUCCCAGGGAGCUGGGGAGGGAGGGCAGGCCUGAGGACGCUGAAAUGCAAGUGCGAGGCGGGGUGGGCGAUGUCGGGUCCGGGCUGGGCCGUGGAGUGUUGCAGGUUCCUUCCUCACGGCUGGCUCUGGCAAAUGACCCUCCCUGAACCUCUGUUUCUGUAAUAGAGGUGAAGAUAAUCGUCCCCACGCAAUUAUCCUAGGGUUAGGAGGCUUAAGGGAGGCGUCCCAUGUAGAGCGGUGAGGACAGCACAGGGUUGUCGGGCCGCAUUCUAGCUCCUCUCCCACAUAAACAUGCACAGGAUUUCGGGUCACUGAGCUGCCACUUUCCAGUCACAGCAGGGAUGUAGUUCCGGCCAGAGCACCAGGAAGAGGAGCAGGAUGGGGCAGCUGGCACAGGGCGGAGCCAGGGUGGGCACCGCUGCGUAUAUGGAGAGGGGAUUAGCACUGGGGCUCUAGCAGAAGCGGGGAGAUAGGAAAUCCCAAGACAGCCUGGUUAUCCGGCCCUGGCUCUCUCCCGGCCCUGGAUGGGAGUGGCUUGUCUCCUAGUCACUUUCCCCAGCCCAGGGGGAACAAAGGGGCUGGAGAGGGUGGGGGCCCACCUUGGAGUGGGCCUCAGGGUACAUUGAGACUCCUGCCUCCGCACCAGAUUUGCAGGUUUGACUUCUCCUGAGGAAGCCUCCACCCUAUGGCCACAAGGCCCUAGGGCCUGUAUUUACAGAGUUCUGAAUUUACCUGGCCCUAAAACCACGUGGCCUGUGCAUGCAUAAUAGAGGCCACAGCACAGAGCUCUUGAGGUAGUGGCCCAGUGGGGACUCUGGGCUUGGUCCCAGCUGGGGGACUGACGUUAAGGAUCUAGCCUCCGUUCCUUCCCUGCCUGGGGAAAAAGAGAAGAGGAGCAGUCCAGGCACUGGCGACAGCCUGUAAUAAGAGGCCCUGAGUGCCACCAAGAGCAUGGUUGGAGAGUGACUCAGCCUCGUUGGUGCCUCCUCAGCAUGCAGGUCUGUGUUCAGAUGUCCCCUUUUCCAGGAAGCCUGCUCUCUCCCCCAGCCCGGCCUCCUCAGUCACUUAGGACACCACCUAGCGAUUGCCUUUCCACCCUCAGGACAGGACCAACUGCUGCUACUGCCCACUAUUGUGUAUCCAGGACCUGGAAUACGACUAUGGACAUCUCAAGGGCAGUGUCAAGGACUCUCUUCUUUGUCACCCCUCUGAGCUGGACUCUGAGCUGGGCCCCAUGCAGCCUCUUGGCGGUGGUCAACGACGUCGCCUGAAUCAACUGGCUCCACUUCCUGCUUCCUCAUUCUGCUCAAGGUGUCACCAUGCUUACGGUCGAGGACACCGAUCUGGGCCCGGGAUCUCACCUGACUCUCUCCAGGCUCCCCAAGGACCAAAGCUCUAUUGUGGGAUCAAGGCCCCAUCUGCCUUCCUGGAGUUCCAACCAUGGCCUGCUGCCAAGUCCUGCUCCCCACCACCCUCCAUUGCCUUGUUCCCCCUGGAUUUCCACCACAGGUAACGGUGUGAAGUCAGGGUGAACUUAAUUGGGGUGAAGGAUGACUGCUGCAUUAAAUUGGAUGGAACUGGUCUGUUCAACCACUGCCCAUUAAAAAUGGUGGCCUUUCUUUAACAUAGCCAUAAUGAGACCAUCCCUCCAGAGAAAAGUGCUAAUAGAAUCACCCGCCUUGAAUGCUUAACUCUUACUCAAUGCCUUGACCUGGACGUCUGAUAGACAUGGCCCACAUACUAUCUAAAAUCAAACCUUUUCUUCCCCCCAAACCUGCUCAUUCCACAGCGUUCCCUAGCUCAGUAAAAGACUACAUGGCACCUUCGUUCUUUCAGUGCUCAGACCAAAACCAGUUUAAGGUCUCCUUUGAUGUGUUUCCUUUACUCACACUCUACAGUAAAUAUAUCAGUAAAUCCUUCAUUGGCUCUACCUUCAAAAUAUAUCCACCACUUCCCCUGCUGCCACUGUUCCUAGCCACUGAAGUCUUGACCAUGACCUCCCAGGCUCCAUGUCAUCUGGCCCACUGCCACCUCCCUGGUCUCAUCUCCUGCCACUCUGCCUACUUUGCUCCUGCUGCACUGGCCUUCUUGCUGGUCCUCAGGCACCACAGCCCACUCUUGCCUCGAGGCCUUUGCCCUGCUGUCCUCUCACUUGGAAUUUUCUCCCCGGGCACUCACAAUGCUGGCUUUCUCAUUUUCUUGUGGUCCCUGCCCAGAUGUCACUUCCUCAGUGAGACCUCCAGACCACCCUAUUUAAGGUAAACCCUCCCACAUUCAAUACUCCCACACGCUAGAUCCCUCUUUGCGUUUUUUUUGUUGUUGUACUUAUCACGACUUGGCAUAUCAUCUGUGUACAC